rnacentral:rRNA from 1 species
AUUGAACGCUGGCGGCAGGCUUAACACAUGCAAGUCGAGCGGAGAUGAGGUGCUUGCACCUUAUCUUAGCGGCGGACGGGUGAGUAAUGCUUAGGAAUCUGCCUAUUAGUGGGGGACAACAUUCCGAAAGGAAUGCUAAUACCGCAUACGCCCUACGGGGGAAAGCAGGGGAUCUUCGGACCUUGCGCUAAUAGAUGAGCCUAAGCCGGAUUAGCUAGUUGGUGGGGUAAGGGCCUACCAAGGCGACGAUCUGUAGCGGGUCUGAGAGGAUGAUCCGCCACACUGGGACUGAGACACGGCCCAGACUCCUACGGGAGGCAGCAGUGGGGAAUAUUGGACAAUGGGCGGAAGCCUGGUCCAGCCAUGCCGCGUGUGUGAAGAAGGCCUUUUGGUUGUAAAGCACUUUAAGCGAGGAGGAGGCUACCUGGAUUAAUACUCUAGGAUAGUGGACGUUACUCGCAGAAUAAGCACCGGCUAACUCUGUGCCAGCCGCCGCAGUAAUAC